AAGAUGGGUUACUGCAACAUCAAAGAGUUAACUACAAGAACAGAAUAGAGAGAAAGAAGAGAGGUGGUCACGUGUCGAACCACGAUGUGAAGCCUUUUGUAGAGGUUUUGGUGGUCUGGCAUGAGUUGGAUGAGUUAGAAGCGGUGGAUGUCAGCAACCGUGGUGGUGGUGAUGAUGAUGGUAGUGACGGUGAGACUGACGGUGGUUGUGGUGGUUGCGGAGCAGAGGAAGAGGUGGAGAAAGGAUCAGUGAGACGGCUCGUGAAUUUUAUUGGGGAGAGGAUUUGUGGCGUUUGGAGUCCAUAGAAAAAAAGAAAGGAUUAGAUAUAGAAAAAAUAGCUCUUCUCUGCUCCUAAAACUUAACUCUGCUCUUUUCUUCUUUAUAUUUCCUCUUAUUUAUUUUCUCCCCUUCCCCCUUGUUUAUACCUACCCUUUUUGAUAAUGUAAAAUGUGUAUUUUGAAUUAGCAAAAGCUUUUCUCUCUGAAA